GAGGUCCUCAACUACAGGAAAUGACUCCAAUUCAAAAGAAUACAACCAAGUUGUUAAUUACAAAAAAUUCAAAUGACAAACACUCAUAAAGACGCAUUUAAUCUCACCACCCCCCACACCUCCACUAAAGGUUUCUCCACCCCUCUAAAAAUUCUACUAUUCUUCUCAAGCCACAUUCUGUAGUCUCGAUGAGAUAGCAAAG
rnacentral:misc_RNA from 1 species